UUCUAAUAGAAUUUAUUAUUAGUAAAAUCUGCUCAAUGAAUAUUUUUAAUAGCCGCAAUUUAUUUGUGCUAAGGUAGCAUAAUCAUUUGUCUUUUAAUUUAAGACUAGAACGAAAGAUUUAACAUUUAAAUUCCUUUAAAAUAAAUUUAAUUUUAAAUUAUUUUAAAUAUAAAAAAAUAUUUAUAUUUUAAAAAGACGAUAAGACCCUAUUAAACUUAACUGAAGUUAAACUGGGGAAGUUAAUUAAUUAUAAUUUUAAUUUUUAGAAAAUAAAAUUUUAGACCUAAUUCAAUUAAUUAUAAGAACAAGUUACUAUAGGGAUAACAGCACAAUAAUUUUUUGAAGACCUUAUAUUUAAAAUAAUUUGUGACCUCGAUGUUGAAUAAUAUUCUAUUAAAUGCAAUAAUUUAAUUAAGAAAGUCUGUUCGACUUUUAAUAAAUUACA
rnacentral:rRNA from 1 species